ACUAAUGAUGUAAAAGGCACUGGUAAGAGCUCAUAUGAAAUGCCAUGUUUCAUUCUAGUGACCCCUGUGUAAGGAUAUUAAAAUCAAACAUGACAUGUAGGAUACAGGUUUGCUUUCCAGAGGCUGAGCACAUAUUUUUUGAAGCAAACCUCUUCAAUAAACUUCAUCCAAAAUUAUUCCAGUUUGUGCACUGAAGAAACCAGACAAUGAUCCAAACAAGAUGUGAAAUGGUUUUUUCCCUCCUGCUGCUGACUGCAGUACACCUGAAGUUGCCACAGAGCCAAGAAUCCCUGCCACCAUAAUUUUUGUUUUUGCUGCUGAACUCAAGGUUGGCAUAGCAACUUGGGAUGCUACUCAAGCAAUCUGCCCUAAGGGAUUUAACCCUGUCAACUGGAAGAAGUCUGAGGUCUCCAUGGUUUUCUGUUCUACACAGACGAAACUGCAGUUUGAAUAAACAGAAGUCAGAGGAGUGAAACGGGCAAAUUUUGUUAAUUGUGAAUCAGAGAUUUUCUUCUGUCAGAUCAGAUUAGGUUCAGUACUUAGAUACAUGACAACAUUCCUGACUCUGUCUGUCAUGCUUCACAGACUGGGCAUCAAAAACAUAUCAGUUACAGUGCAGGGCACUCAGAUAACCAGAAUAUAUGCAUCCAAAGGGAGAUUAGCAGCUCAAACUACAAGGACAUUGCCCAUAGCCUUAAAUAUUAACAAAACCAUUUUGAGACAAAGAAUGCUAAAAAUUCAGAGGGCAAAGUCCAUCAUCAGAUUGAGAGCAAAAACACAGGGCAGUGUUAGAUACAAGUCACGUAAAUGAGAGAUGCUCUACCAUGAAGGUUGGCUUGUAGAGGAUUAAGAAUGAAGAACCACUAUGAUAGAAAUGGUAUUUCAGAUUGUGUAAUAGGAAAAUAUCAGACCAAGGACAGAGUUCUGAUAGAUGCUAGUAUA